UACGUAGGGAGCAAGCGUUGUCCGGAAUCAUUGGGCGUAAAGCGCGCGUAGGUGGCCUCGUAAGUCCGCUGUGAAAGUCCAAGGCUCAACCUUUGAAAGCCGGUGGAUACUGUGAGGCUAGAGUACGGAAGAGGCGAGUGGAAUUCCUGGUGUAGCGGUGGAAUGCGCAGAUAUCAGGAGGAACACCAAUAGCGAAGGCAGCUCGCUGGGACGUUACUGACACUGAGGCGCGAAAGCGUGGGGAGCGAACAGG
rnacentral:rRNA from 1 species